CCUGAGGAAUAAGCAUCGGCUAACUCGUGCCAGCAGCCGCGGUAUACGGAGGAUGCAAGCGUUAUCCGGAAUGAUUGGCGUAAAGCGUCCGCAGGUGGCUAUGUAAGUCUGCUGUUAAAGAGCAAGGUCAACCUUGUAAAGGCAGUGGAAACUACAUAGCUAGAGUGCGUUCGGGGCAAGGGAAUUCCUGGUGUAGCGGUGAAAUGCGUAGAUAUCAGGAAGAACACCGUGGCGAAAGCGCUCUGCUAGGCCGCAACUGACACUGAGGGACGAAAGCUAGGGAGCGAAUGGGAUUAGAUACCCCAGUAGUCCUAGCCGUAAACGAUG
rnacentral:rRNA from 1 species